GUUUUCUUUCUUGUUUCCUUUCCAUUUCUUACUUCUCCUUUUCUCUUUCAAACCUAAACAACAAGUGCAUACCUUUUUUCUUACUCCAUUAUAACUUGUUUAGUAGAUGCUUCUUGUUUGGUAGAUAUGUAUAUAUUCUUUGUGGGUUAUUGCUAUUUUUGAGAUCUGAUUUACAUUUACCCUACAUACUUCUAGUUGUGGAAUGCUUGGAUUUUCAGCAAUUACGCCUUAUGUUUGAAGGAUUAGGAGUAUAGCAUUGCGCACAAGCAUGAACAAGAAAACUCCUAAUCCUUCAAACUCCUAAUCCGCGAGCUUUAACUUGAAUACGGAUACUAGCCCCGUCAUUUGAAACUAUAAUAUUCAUGGAAACAGUUUGAGUCUCCAUGACAUUUUGAAGAAAUAAACAUUUAUAGUUUUGAUGUUGUAAGGUUGCCGGCUCAUUCUUUGGCACAUAUGCUAGGAAGUCAUAGAGCUAAUUAUAUAUGCAUAAUUGGAAUACAGAUUACCAGAAAAUUGACCAAUAAACUUAUAGAUCAUAUAUUUCAAAGUAAUGAUUCUGAACUUCAUUUUCAACACACAGAAGAAUAUUUAAGGAAAUGAAUUGCAAUUGUGUUUUUUUUUAAAUAGAGGUCAAUAGACCGUUGAAAAGUAGUUAUAUAUAUUAAGGUCUUGAAUUUGUUUUGGUCACUAGGCAUUUUCCCCCCAUGGUAUAUCCAACAUGGAUGCAUUAAACCUUUUUCUUUCCCUUUCUUUCUCCAACCAAUAUUGCAAUUAACUUGUGAGAGGAUCGCUAUUUCAAAUGUUGGCAGAAUUGUCCUAUCAAAGAUCUAUACGGUGAUUGUCUUCUCCUACGUAUUUAGACCUAAAAACUUUAAGUUGAGAUAGUAAUGGGGGUAAUAUCACCCAAUUUCUAGACAUGGGAAGCUCCUAGAUAGUAAUAUUAUUGUUGUUUAUGUACAUGCCGCCCGCUCUCUCCUCGUCAUGUGGGAUGGGUAAAAUUACUAGAGUAGAACAUUCUGCCGCCAAAAAUUAGUUCAUGCUGGCAUAAGUUAGCAUAGUGACAAGGUGACAAGGGUGCUUUCCCUAGAGCACGCUGGGGCUUAACUAUUUUAUUUUAUUUACAAUCUUUUUAAUUUUCCAGCGCCGGUAAAAUCACUAACUUUGAAAAAAGUGGGAGGGGGUAAACAUGGGAAUCUUAGGUAGUCGAGACGAGGCGGGUCCAGGGGAGCCGGAAGGGUGGAAAAACAAUGGGCCAAAACGGUGUAGUAGGGUCCAUGAGCUGCACGCGGCAUCUGAUUCAAUUGGGUGUUACAAGUGUUCACAUCCCAUCAUUACUUUGGCGUCGUCUUGAGAUUCCAAAAACAAAAGGCCGAAAAACGAAAAUAAAUUUCUCCUUGUUUUAUGCGGCCAUGAGUUUUCCGAUUUUCAUUUCUGAGGCUCCUCCAGAUAAGAUAAGAUUUAUCCAUCAUGCACUGUGUACCCUCAAAAUCUCUUGUUAUUCGAUAAAUAUUUUUUUAAAUGUAUUCAAAUAAUAUCAUAUAGCGUCCAUAUUCCUAAAAUCAUUGUUUCGUCACUGGUUUUACGUACAUGAUAUCACGGGGUCUGAAUGCUUCAAUCCGGAGCAUUAUUCGCUGCUUCCACAUCAGUUCUCAGAAAAAAAAUAAAAAGAGGCAUGUGGAUGUUUUUCGUUCUCUCAAGAAUUUCAGGGCAGAGAUUAGGGCAUAUCUUGGCAGGAGCUGUUUCAUUAUUGCUCAAAGGAAAAAAAUAUCCUCCUGAUAUUAUAUCCUCCUAACUACUGUGCUUGCUGUUUGGUGAGCCAGUUGGUGCGGCAUCUUCACUGUUGGACCCUGUGAUGUGUCACGUCUUUGUGUGUCGUGGGCCAAGAGUUGACUGUAUCUAGACCAUAGUAAAACGCUUAACCAGACAUUGAACUGUGUCUGCCCCUUGUCCUACCACUGUUUAUUUUAUUUAUAUCUGAAUAUAAAUAUAAUAGACCAAUAAUGCUUUUACAUCAGACUCCCCAUGCGUGGUCGCCGUUGCUAUUCGUACCUUGUAGUAAAAGUAAAAAGCACAA